rnacentral:lncRNA from 1 species
GCCGUCACGGGGUGCCGGGUCCCACACCCCGCCCCAAUGUCACACUUAAAAUAAGCCCCCAGGUAAGCAAGGCCCCGGGGCGGGGGGCGGGGGGCUGCCACCGGCAGGAGGCGGGAGCUCCGGCAGGUGGGGCAGAGCCGGCUCAGCUGGGGCUGCUCUGCCCCACCCCUCCUCGCACCUGUCGCCCCUCUUCACGCCGCGUGGGCCACACGUGCUCAGCGAGGCCUCUUCCUAAACGGACUUCUUACCCCGCAGAGUCACCCUCACCGCCGUUUUCAGAGCGCAAUGAUCUCGCCCAGGUCCUGGCGGCUCCAGGAAUCCCUGGGCUCGUGGUCACAGCCCUCCAGUCUCUGCCUCUAUUCUCACAUGACCUGUGUCCCCAUGCCCCAAAUCUCACUCUCCUAUCUCUUUCAAGGAGGCUCGGCCGUGGAUUCUGUAAUCUAAUCACAUCUGCAAAGACCUAUUUCCAAAUAAGGUCGCGUUCACAGGGCGCAGGGGUGAGGACUCUUUUUAGGGGAUGCUUUUCAACUCACUGCUUCACACUGGAUAAAGGUGGCCCUACCCCCAACCACUGGUGACUUUGAAGAUGCAGGGAGGCCCCUUUGAAGACCAGUGGAGCCUGGCAGGAAGCCGCCACAGGCCAAGGAACAGCAGGGAUCUCUGGCCACCACAAGCUUGAGAAAGGGUCCUCCCUAGAGCCUUCAGAGGGAGCCCAGCCCCAGAAACCCCUGGAUUUUGGACUUUCGGCUUCCAGAACUGUGAGACAGUUCUGUGUUUCAAACCCCUACUUUGUGGCCAUUUGUAAUGGUGGCCCCAGGACCCUCGCACACCCUGUUGGUUCUUAUUUCUAAUAUGUUUCUAAUACAUUGCAACUGUGCACCCACCUGCUUGUUCUGUAUUUUCCUUACCAUUUGUUUCUGCCAUCUCCACCCGCAUCCUUGGCUGUGGCCCUCCCUCCAUGUCCAGAGCCAGCAGCAGGGGGCCUUCCCAGCUCCCUCUGACUCUGACUCCCGCCCCCUGUUGUAAGGAUCCCGUGAUGACACUGAGCCCAGCUUGAUAGCCCAGGAUGGUCUCUCCCUUCAAGACUCCUACUUAGCCCCACCUGCGAAGUCCGCUUUGCCCCCAGACAAGGUCACAUAGCCACAGAUUCCUUCUGGGAAUCGGGACACGGUUACCCUGUUGACCCCGUCACCAUCCUUCCCUCAGCCCACGGGGGGCCACAGUGCUCUCUCUC